rnacentral:rRNA from 1 species
UACGAAGGGGACUAGCGUUGUUCGGAAUUACUGGGCGUAAAGCGCACGUAGGCGGUUUGUCGCGUCGACUGUGAAAUCCCGCGGCUCAACUGCGGGUCUGCAGUCGAUACGGGCAGGCUAGAGUUCGGUAGGGGAGACUGGAAUUCCUGGUGUAGCGGUGAAAUGCGCAGAUAUCAGGAGGAACACCAAUUGCGAAGGCAGCUCGCUGGGACGUGACUGACGCUGAGACGCGAAAGCGUGGGGAGCAAACAGG